GACGAACGCUGGCGGCGUGCUUAACACAUGCAAGUCGAACGGAAAGGCCCCCUUGUGGGGUACUCGAGUGGCGAACGGGUGAGUAACACGUGAGUAACCUACCCUUGACUUUGGGAUAACUUCAGGAAACUGGGGCUAAUACCGGAUAGGAGCUCCUGCUGCAUGGUGGGGGUGGGAGAGUUUCGGCGGUUGGGGGUGGACUCGCGGCUUAUCAGCUUGUUGGUGGGGUAGUGGCUUACCAAGGCUUUGACGGGUAGCCGGCCUGAGAGGGUGACCGGCCACAUUGGGACUGAGAUACGGCCCAGACUCCUACGGGAGGCAGCAGUGGGGAAUAUUGCACAAUGGGCGGAAGCCUGAUGCAGCAACGCCGCGUGCGGGAUGACGGCCUUCGGGUUGUAAACCGCUUUCGCCUGUGACGAAGCGUGAGUGACGGUAAUGGGUAAAGAAGCACCGGCUAACUACGUG
rnacentral:rRNA from 1 species